UCCCUCCCUCUAAAAGCACUCUGUGUGGGGAACAUGAGAGCCAGACCAAAGCUCAGAGGAACCAGCCUGGACCUCCACCCAGCUCUGUGUCCUUACAGAGUGAUGGGUCUAAAGAGGACCUCAUUAAUUUUAAAGUCUUUGCUGAAGAGAGGAUCUAUGGGGGACCUGCUGAACCUGAACCCAGCUGUGUGUCCUUAAAGAGUGAUCACUCUAAACAACGCCUCAUUAAUUUUAAAGUCCAGCCUGUGUCUGCUGCAGAGAGAGUGGACCAGCAGAGCUCAGAGGUUCCCAGUGGUCAGUCUGCCCAGCAGCAUCAAACACAG